UUCCACCGCAGGACUCCGAAGAGGUGCGCCUAUGCUUGGCUGGGGCUGAGGUCACCAAGAGUCCUCUCGGAGGGACGUUACUACACGCGCUGGCGAGGCCCAGGAGUCGUGGUGCGAGGGGUACUAUCUGUGAAACGAGGGCUGCCUGUCCCAGCAGCCAGCUUUGUACAGAGACGUCCCGGAGCCACGAGAGAGUAACGGCUAACCCGGGGGAGGGGGUGGCGAGGGUGAUUCCAGGCACUUUGUGAAGAAACGAGCUAUGGCGAGGGAAGAAUCCACUUUGAAGAGCGGCCCCCGCCCUGCCCGAUACGUUACUUCCGGGGCGGGGCGGGCAGAGGGGCCCGGAUGUGCCGCCGCUUUUUAGUUUCUGAGGCGCCGGCGGUGUUCCUGGUAGCGUCAGCCUCCUGGCUUUUCCUUUUCCUGGACGCUUCAGGGCUCCGCGGCCUGCGCUAGACUGGAGGGUCCGCGUCACUCUCGCCCUCCUGCUUUCCGCGCUCUCACCCGCUCCCGCCUCCUGAGGGCACGACUUGUGGAGGAGCGCGGGCGGCGGGGCGUGAGCGAGCUGCCUCUGCCGCCAUCUUAGAGAAGGCGAGCGUGGGGUGUGCGUGGGCGCGAGUCGGCCUCCCGCGGUGCCGCCGCAGCGUGGCGCGGAGAGAUUUGGUCUUUUCCAGAGUUAGGAAUAGAUAAAUUUCCUGAAGUUAAUUCUUGAAAAUUUAGAAUUUAGAAUAUUUUCCCAUGUUUUAGGAUACUUGAUGAUGAUACAAUUCUAACCAUAUUGAGGUUAAUAUUUGAAAUGUUAGUGUUACUGCCUGAUAGGGUUUGGCUUUGUGUCCCCACCCAACUCUCAUGUGAAAUCGUAAUCCGAAAGUGUUGAAGGAGGGGCCCUGUGGGAGAUGAUUGGAUCCUGGGGGCAGUUUCUGAUGGUUUAGCACCAUCCCACUAGUGCUGUUUCAAGAGUGACUUCUCACGAGAUCUGCUUGUUUAAAAAUAUUUACCACUACCCCUCUCUCACCUGCCACAAUGUGAAGAAAGUCCUUGUACCCUUCGCCUUCCGCCAUAAUGGUAAGUUUCCGUGAGACCUCCCAGUCAUGCUUCCUGUUAAGCCUGCAGAACUGUGAGUCAGUUAAACCUCUUUUCUUCAUAAAUUACCCAGUCUCCGGCAGUUCUUUAUAGCAGUGUGAAAAGGUACAAAUACACCACCACACUGAAUCAGAUGACCAAGAUACCAGUUCAAGCUAUAGAAUCGAAAAUACGGAUUUUAUAUGCAUGUAUUGUUUAAUACUGUAAUUAGUUACAAAAGAACCCAGAAACCUUUUAACCCAUAGUUAUUGCUUGUAGGAUUUUUUUUAGCCAUUUUUUAAAGCUGCAUAGAUGCAUCUUCACAUAUGUUGCAUGUAUGUUUCAGAAAUAAAUUAUUUGCUAAGAAGUCACAGAAAAGACCCAGUAUUGGACCACUCUAACAGUUAUCACCUAUUAUAGUGCAAAACACACUGUGUGAUCAAUAAAAAAAGGUACAUAACCAAGCUAAAAUUGGGCAGACAUAGUUCCUGAAUGUAAAAUGUUCAACAUUAUCUAUUAAUUUAGAAUGUUGUGUUUUAACUUGGAUUGUUUUUUUCUCUCCGAUCAGAAUGAUUGGAAGAGACAUGGAAUAACACAUUUGUAUCUGAACUACUUGAAGAAAAAUCUGAAGCCCUGAUGAUAUAUAUAGAUUGUGUAUUUCAUAAGUUACUUUAACACAUUCGUAGUGGUAGAUUUCUGUAUUAUCUAUUAGAGUGUUUUUGCCUAUUCAUAUCUACUCCAUAUUCAAGGACUAAUAAGUUAUUUCAUUAUUAUACUUUAAAAAAGAAAGGAUGCAUAUGAAAAGAUAAAAUAGUGCUAUGUGAUAGGCUUGCUUCUGAAAAAUAGUAUGAGAGUUUGAAAAGUAAUGUAUGCUGUGGCACCUUAUUGUUGAAUUUGUGGUGAAUCUUUUUAUGAGAGAAAUCACACCUGUUUUAAAUUUUUUCAUUUGAUUAUAUCCUAUUUUCUUCAAUUGAGAGAGAGAUGUAGAGUCUUGGGUUCUCUUAUAUAAAAUGAAUGGUUUCAUUUGUACCAAUAUUUAUUGAGCACUUAUGUGGAAUACUGGAUAAUUUUAUUACUCGAUUGCUAAUUCCCUUUACUAGAUCUGAAAUUCUGUGGAUAUGUGAUAAUUAUUUAAAAAUGAUAAGAGAGUGAUAGGGGCCAAGGUAAUUCAAAACUGAACAUAAUUUGCCACUAUUCUCUGGAGCACCCUCAAGCCUCCCUAUCCCCACCUAAAGUAUGAUUUGGUUUUGAAAACAGUGCAAUAAUUUUUUCUGGUAGAUUUGUCUUUCUGUGUUUUCUUUAAGUAAUACAAACCAGCUGAUUACUCGGCAGUUCUGAAGAGUGUGUGUGGCUAUGUGUACACACGUUUGUGUGCAUGUGUAUGUCUUGGAAUUACAUUUUUACUCCAGCACAGAAAGAUGAUUAUAGAAUCAUAAGUUGACUACCUUUGCUUAACACCAAAUUACCUUUUGAUGUACACAUGCAGCUUUAAAAAAAAAAGUCUGGGGCCGGGCGUGGUGGCUCACGCCUUUAAUCUCAACACUUUGGGAGGCCGAGCGGGUGGAUCACCUGACAUCGGGAGUUCGAGACCAGCCUGACCAACAUGGAGUUACCCCAUCUCUACUAAAAAUACAAAAUUAGCUGGGUGUGGUGGCACAUACCUGUAAUCCCAGCUACUUGGGAAGCUGAGGCAGGAGAAUCGCUUGAACCUGGGAGGCAGAGGUUGCGGUGGGCCGAGAUCGCACCAUUGCACUCCACCCUGGGCAACAAGAGCAAAACUCGGUCUCAAAAAAAAAAAAAUAGUCUGGAAACAAUUCAAAUGUAUAUCAAUAGGAGGAUGGGAAGACAAAUUGUGGGCCCAGCACAAUGACUUAACACCUGUAAUCCCAACACUCUGGGAGGCCAAGCCAUGAGGAUCACUGGAGGCCAGGAGUUUGAGACUAGCCUGAGCAACAUAGCGAGACUCUGUCUUUACAAAAAAAAAUUAAAACUUAGCUGAGCAUGUUGGCACAUGCCUGGAGUCCCAGCUACUUGGGAGGCUGAGGCAAGAGAAUUGCAUGAAUCCAGGAGUUCAAGGUUGCAGUGAGCCGUGAUCACACCACUGUACUUCAGCCUGGGUGAGAGCAAGACCUUGUCUUUAAAAAGUAAAAGAGUAAAACAAAUUGUGAUACAGUCAUACGAUGGAGUAUUAUUGAGCAAGUCAAAGGAAAGGACUGCUGAUACAACACGGACAAAUCUCAAAAACAUUGCAUUUGGCAAAAGAAGCCAGACACAGAGUACAUAGCAUAUGAAUCCAUUUAUAUAAAAUUUAAGAACAGGAAAAAGUAAUCUGUGUUUAGUAUCUUCUUAUGGCAGAGGCAGUAGGUUGGGAUUUUAGUGGAAAGGAUUAUGAGGGAACAUGGUAGGAUGGUGAAAAUGUUCUGCACUGUCUCAGCUGCACUAAUGACAUAUAGCUAUUAAAAUCUAUUAAUUAAAACAAAAUUCAUUUCCACUGUCACAUUAGCUACAUUUUAAAUGUUCAAUAGCCACAUGUGGCUACUGCCUACUAAGUUGGACAGUGCAAAUACAGACUUCUGUUAUCUCAGAAGUUCUACUAGAGAGUUCUAGUCUAGACCUUGUUUUAUGCACAUGUUUACAUUUUUCAAAAUUGUAAUUAAUAUGCAUUGUAUGCCAGUAAUACCUGCCCCCAAACCCUAUAAAUCAUUAAUAGAAUUUUUAUUACUCUAUUUUAAUCUACUAAUUAGCCCAUGUUUUCCAUAAUAUUUUUGUUCAACCCUGGGGAGAAAGGAUAAAUAGUAAAAUUCUUGGCAAAUUUUCAAAUAUGUAAUUGUGACAUACAAUAGAUAGCAUUGAUUUUCCGCUCCAAAAAAUGAGUUCUGCUGCUUUAUAAUUUUGAAUGCAUCUAGAAACAAGAAAUUUCUUUUGAGGGCUUAAAGUGAACUCUAGAUGAAUACAGAAAAAAUUUUUUCUAUUGGAAUCAAGUAUCUUAAACGUGGCGAUCAUACAACCUUCUUCUAAGGUAACACUUAAGAGCGUUUUGGGAGAUUUUGGUGCUAGCUCUAUGACUAGGUUUAGAAAGUCAAAUAAGCUCGGUAGGUAACACUUCAGACUCAAGCCUUUUGGAAGUAGAAGAAAACUAAGUUUGUAAGUGAAGGAUAAAAAGACCUGAAUGAUCUCAAUUCUAAAAUUCUGAUUUUAAUGGAUUUUAAGAGAUGGAAUACCAGGUGAAUUGAUUCAAAAUAUUAAAUAUAUGUGUUUAUAUAGUACUUCAGUGAAAUUAAGAAAAAUUUUUGGUGGAGUAAGUACCUUAAUAAUGUUAAUAAAUAUUUCUACCAGUGUUUUUUAAGACCUUUGUGAACCCCAAGUAGAUUUUUACAAGACAAUGAACUUUAACUGUUAAAGAUUAAUUAUUAUAAAUGAAUCAGCAGUUCAUGUCAAUAAUAUGUGCUGGAAAGUAUUUUCUCAAUUAUUGUCAAUUAUAUAUAAAAAAUGAUUUUAUUUGAUCCAAAUUCUUUAACUGCCAAAUUCUUGUUUUCUUUCUCUCUCUCUCUCUCCCCCUCCCUCUCUCUCCCUCUCCCUCUCUCUCCCUCUCUCUCUGCCCCCUCCCUCUCUCCCCACCUUUCCCUCUCCCUCUGCCUCUCUCUCUUCCUCUCCCUCUCCCUCUCCACUUCCUCCCUCCCCUUCCCUUCCUCCCUUCCUCUACCUUUUUUUUUUCUUAUAAUGUAAUAUGUAGUCUGGAGAAAACAUCUCCCAAGUUCUGUUGGGCCAUUCUCCCUAUUGGAAGUAUACUAAUAGUAUCUGCUCACUGGAACAUGCCAUAUAUGUCACCUGCCCCACAUACUGAUAUCACAAUAAUAUGUAAAACCUUCAUUUAAAUUGUUUUUGAAUGUGUAUAUCAAUUGUUACAGCAUAUGACUGAACUUUUUUCAUCCUUAAAAAUUUUUUUAAGCAAUAUGACACAACCACUAAUGAAGAAAAAUAAAGAUUACUGAUUGACAUU
rnacentral:lncRNA from 1 species